rnacentral:rRNA from 1 species
ACCUGGUGGCGAGUGGCGAACGGGUGAGUAAUACAUCGGAACAUGUCCUGUAGUGGGGGAUAGCCCGGCGAAAGCCGGAUUAAUACCGCAUACGAUCUACGGAUGAAAGCGGGGGACCUUCGGGCCUCGCGCUAUAGGGUUGGCCGAUGGCUGAUUAGCUAGUUGGUGGGGUAAAGGCCUACCAAGGCGACGAUCAGUAGCUGGUCUGAGAGGACGACCAGCCACACUGGGACUGAGACACGGCCCAGACUCCUACGGGAGGCAGCAGUGGGGAAUUUUGGACAAUGGGCGAAAGCCUGAUCCAGCAAUGCCGCGUGUGUGAAGAAGGCCUUCGGGUUGUAAAGCACUUUUGUCCGGAAAGAAAUCCUUGGCUCUAAUACAGUCGGGGGAUGACGGUACCGGAAGAAUAAGCACCGGCUAACUACGUGCCAGCAGCCGCGGUAAUACGUAGGGUGCAAGCGUUAAUCGGAAUUACUGGGCGUAAAGCGUGCGCAGGCGGUUUGCUAAGACCGAUGUGAAAUCCCCGGGCUCAACCUGGGAACUGCAUUGGUGACUGGCAGGCUAGAGUAUGGCAGAGGGGGGUAGAAUUCCACGUGUAGCAGUGAAAUGCGUAGAGAUGUGGAGGAAUACCGAUGGCGAAGGCAGCCCCCUGGGCCAAUACUGACGCUCAUGCACGAAAGCGUGGGGAGCAAACAGGAUU